GAUCAUGGCUCAGGAUGAACGCUAGCGGCAGGCUUAACACAUGCAAGUCGAGGGGCAGCGGGAUGUAGCAAUACAUUGCCGGCGACCGGCGGAUGGGUGCGUAACGCGUAUGCAACCUACCUUAUACAGGGGAAUAACCUUUCGAAAGGGAGACUAACACCCCAUAGUAUUGAUUUAAGGCAUCUUAGAUUAAUUAAAUAUUUAUAGGUAUAAGAUGGGCAUGCGUAUGAUUAGCUAGUUGGUAAGGUAACGGCUUACCAAGGCGACGAUCAUUAGGGGUUCUGAGAGGAAGGUCCCCCACACUGGUACUGAGACACGGACCAGACUCCUACGGGAGGCAGCAGUGAGGAAUAUUGGUCAAUGGGCGCAAGCCUGAACCAGCCAUGCCGCGUGCAGGAAAAGACGGCCUUAUGGGUUGUAAACUGCUUUUACAUAAGACUAACCGUAUAUUUGCGAAUAUACCUGAAUGUAUUAUGAGAAUAAGGAUCGGCUAACUCCGUGCCAGCCGCAGC
rnacentral:rRNA from 1 species